rnacentral:rRNA from 1 species
UGGGGAAUCUUGCGCAAUGGCCGAAAGGCUGACGCAGCGACGCCGCGUGUGGGAUGACGCCUUUCGGGGUGUAAACCACUGUUGCCCGGGACGAACAGCACUAUUCGUAGUGCCUGACUGUACCGGGUGAGGAAGCACCGACUAACUCUGUGCCAGCAGCCGCGGUAAUACAGAGGGUGCGAGCGUUGUCCCGAAUCACUGGGCGUAAAGGGCGCGUAGGUGGUGGCUUAAGCGUGCGGUGAAAGCUCGGAGCUCAACUCCGAGUCGGCCGUGCGAACUGGGCUCACUGGAGCAUAGUAGAGGCAGGUGGAAUUCCGGGUGUAGCGGUGGAAUGCGUAGAGAUCCGGAAGAACACCGGUGGCGAAGGCGGCCUGCUGGGCUAUGGCUGACACUGAGGCGCGACAGCGUGGGGAGCAAAC